GCCAGAUGUAAUGACACAUGUCCAUAAUCUCUUCUACCAGGAAGGUUGAGCCUGGUGUAUCUCUUGAGUUUGGGGGUUCUAAACUAUAGUAGAGUAAUCUGAUUCCCAUACUAAGUCCAGCAUUAAUAUGGUGAGUACCUAGGUGCAGGGGGGCCACCAGCUUGCCUGAGGAGGGGUGAAAUGACCCAGGCUGGAAAUGGAACAGGUCUAAGUUCCUAUGCUCAUCAGUAGGAGGAGUGGGCCUCUGAAUAGCUCCUGCCCUUUCACCCUUUCAAUCUAGGCUAGAUAGGGGAUCCCAGACUCA
rnacentral:SRP_RNA from 1 species